GCAGCGAUAGCUCAGUGGUAGAGCAGGCGAGUAAGUUAUACCAGGAUAGGGCUAUGCAAUUUGAGUCAUAUCACUAACAAUCCAACAGUUGCAGUUCGUCAGGUCAGGUGUUCAAUCCACCUUCGCUGCU